rnacentral:rRNA from 1 species
GGCCUAGUGCAAAACUUAAUACCAAAUGGGAUUAGUAUGUUACAAUAUGCAGAUGAUACUAUCUUUAUGUUUAAGGAUAAUUUGGAGAGUGCUAGGAACUUGAAAUUGAUUCUUUGUCUGUUUGAACAACUUUCAGGUCUCAAAGUUAACUUCCAUAAAAGUGAGGUUUUUUGUUUUGGUGAGGAUAAAGGGAAACAAGAGUGUUAUUCUAAUAUUUUCACUUGUGCUGUUGGUAAACUACCUUUUAAGUAUUUAGGGAUACCUAUUAAUGUUGUGAGGCUAUGUAAUAGUGAUUGGAAUUGGCCUAAGGAGAAGAUGGAGAAGAAAUUGAGUGUUUGG